rnacentral:rRNA from 1 species
UACGUGAGGGUGCAAGCGUUAAUCGGAAUUACUGGGCGUAAAGCGUGCGUAGGCGGCUUUGUAUGUCGAUUGUGAAAUCCCAGGGCUCAACCCUGGAACUGCAGUCGAAACUGCAAAGCUUGAAUGUUGGAGAGGUUGGGGGAAUACCUAGUGGAGAAGUGAAAUUCGUAGAGAUUAGGUGGAACACCAGAGGCGAAGGCGCCUGACUGGCCAAACAUUGACGCUAAGGCGCGAAAGCGUGGGUAGCAAACAGG